AGAGCAGUAUCUCAUUUCUGAAAACCUGGAUUGUAGCUUUCCCUGGGCUGACUGUCAAAGGAGGUGGUUUUAAAAAGCAAGCCAAACAGGUUUCCAUCCUUUAGGAAGACCCUGGAACGUGCCAGUUGAUUCUGACAAUUUCUCAUGAACAGAAACACCUAGGAAGGGAGAACUGGGCCCGCCUGGCAGGACGACUGAGCAAGUCCUUGGAAAACCAGAGAUAUUAGAGCGGUGAAUCGCGCUGGUCACGUUGGACACCUGCGCGUUAGGAGAUUCUGGAGCCAGAGGGAGAGACCCCAGAAACUCCCCGGUCGGCGACCCAGCCCGAGACGCCUGGGGUCCCAAGGGAAGCUGAACGCCCGAAUGGGGAAAUGGAGAGAGAACCUGAAAGAGCCCCAAACUCGAGGACCUAUUGCUCCCCAAGAAUAACAUCUUCCAGAACUAGACAGAAAACUAGGCGUCUGGGAACCCUGAAAUCCUUGGAGGAGUAGAUCAUCAUGACCCUCUGUGUUCCUUUUGGCAAAUGACUUGCUUCCAUUGUUUGUUUGUUCAAUUGUCUGUUUGUUAAAUAAAUAAAACCCUUUUCAUGUA
rnacentral:lncRNA from 1 species